rnacentral:rRNA from 1 species
AAUAGAUACCCGGGUAGUCCACGCCGUAAACGAUGAGUGCUAAGUGUUAGAGGGUUUCCGCCCUUUAGUGCUGCAGCUAACGCAUUAAGCACUCCGCCUGGGGAGUACGGCCGCAAGGCUGAAACUCAAAGGAAUUGACGGGGGCCCGCACAAGCGGUGGAGCAUGUGGUUUAAUUCGAAGCAACGCGAAGAACCUUACCAGGUCUUGACAUCCUCUGACACUCCUAGAGAUAGGAGGUUCCCCUUCGGGGGACAGAGUGACAGGUGGUGCAUGGUUGUCGUCAGCUCGUGUCGUGAGAUGUUGGGUUAGGUCCCGCAACGAGCGCAACCCUUGAUCUUAGUUGCCAGCAUUCAGUUGGGCACUCUAAGGUGACUGCCGGUGACAAACCGGAGGAAGGUGGGGAUGACGUCAAAUCAUCAUGCCCCUUAUGACCUGGGCUACACACGUGCUACAAUGGAUGGUACAAAGGGCAGCGAAGCCGCGAGGCUAAGCCAAUCCCAUAAAACCAUUCUCAGUUCGGAUUGCAGG